rnacentral:rRNA from 1 species
GCCUAGCCCUAAACCUUAAUAAUUACAUAACAAAAUUAUUUGCCAGAGAACUACUAGCCACCGCUUAAAACUCAAAGGACUUGGCGGUACUUUAUAUCCACCUAGAGGAGCCUGUUCUAUAAUCGAUAUACCCCGCUACACCUUACCACCCCUUGCUAAUUCAGCCUAUAUACCGCCAUCUUCAGCAAACCUUAAAAAAGAAUAAAAGUAAGCAAGAGUACUUACAUAAAAACGUUAGGUCAAGGUGUAGCCCAUGGGGUGGAAAGAAAUGGGCUACAUUUUCUUCCAAAGAACAUUACGAAACUCUUUAUGAAAUUAAAGAACAAAGGAGGAUUUAGUAGUAAAUUAAGAAUAGAGAGCUUAAUUGAAUAGAGCAAUGAAGUACGC